rnacentral:rRNA from 1 species
CUUGCACUGAAUGGACGUCGACCGGCGCACGGGUGAGUAACGCGUAUCCAACCUUCCCGUUACUGCGGGAUAACCUGCCGAAAGGCAGACUAAUACCGCAUGUUCUUCGAUGACGGCAUCAGAUUCGAAGCAAAGACUCGUCGGUAACGGAGGGGGAUGCGUCUGAUUAGCUAGUUGGCGGGGCGACGGCCCACCAAGGCGACGAUCAGUAGGGGUUCUGAGAGGAAGGUCCCCCACAUUGGAACUGAGACACGGUCCAAACUCCUACGGGAGGCAGCAGUGAGGAAUAUUGGUCAAUGGGCGGAAGCCUGAACCAGCCAAGUAGCGUGCAGGACGACGGUCCUACGGGUUGUAAACUGCUUUUAUGCGGGGAUAAAGUGAGGGACGUGUCCCUUUUUGCAGGUACCGCAUGAAUAAGGACCGGCUAAUUCCGUGCCAGCAGCCGCGGUAAUACGGAAGGUCCGGGCGUUAUCCGGAUUUAUUGGGUUUAAAGGGAGCGUAGGCCGGGGAUUAAGUGUGUUGUGAAAUGUAGGCGCCCAACGUCUGACUUGCAGCGCAUACUGGUUCCC